GAAUUGCGAUAAGUAAUGUGAAUUGCAGAAUUCAGUGAAUCAUCGAAUCUUUGAACGCAGGAAAUGCGAUAAGUAAUGUGAAUUGCAGAAUUCAGUGAAUCAUCGAAUCUUUGAACGCACAUUGCGCCCCCUGGUAUUCCGGGGGGCAUGCCUGUUCGAGCGUCAUUUCACCACUCAAGCCUCGCUUGGUAUUGGGCAACGCGGUCCGCCGCGUGCCUCAAAUCGUCCGGCUGGGUCUUCUGUCCCCUAAGCGUUGUGGAAACUAUUCGCUAAAGGGUGUUCGGGAGGCUACGCCGUAAAACAACCCCAUUUCUAAGGUUGACCUCGGAUCAGGUAGGGAUACCCGCUGAACUUAA
rnacentral:rRNA from 1 species